CUCCCACCGUGGGCCCAGGUGGCAAGGGAAGUCUAUAAGGGUGCUUAGAUACCAAGUGCAUUCAACCUCCCCACUUCUAGCCAGCGAUGGGAUCUCGUUAACGCUGCUCAGCCUGACCUCAAACUCCUGGCCUCAAGCAAUCCUCUGGCCUCAGCCUCUCAAAUUGCUGGGAUUAUAAUCCUGAGCCACUGCACCAGGCCUAUUCAGAAUUCUAAUAUGCAACUGAUUCUUAGUGAUAACCAAGAAAUAAAGACUUGGAGCUCAAAUUGUGCCCGAGGCCUGCGAUUCUUGAGAACCGUGCUUCCUCCUCCCUUUCUUCCAUUUGGAAUUGCGUUAAGCACAGAGACCCGAGGAGCCUGGACACAGCACAGGAUGCUGGUGUAAGAAGCCAAACCCUGCGUCCAAACACAGGGACUCCUCACCAGCUGGUAGGGCUUCAGUGCACGCAGAGGAAGCCAAAGGACUGGCAAGGUGCACAGAUGAGGUGGGAGGACCAGAGCCAGGACGUCUGAACCUGACUUCUGCAUUCUGGCAAAUGAAUGACUGCACCUGACCCGUGACUCAUGACUCAACUAGUCCUGUGGACCCCGCCUUGAGGUGGACUCAGUGCACCAGGACCAUUUUCCACACCCCUACAAUUUCAUCCCCAACCAAUCAGCAGCACUCAUUCCCUAGCCUGCUGUUCACCAAAUUAGCCAUGAAACCCCUACCUAGACUAGCCUCUGAGUUCUGAGAGAGGCUGAUUUGAGUAAUAAAGUAAUAAACUCCUGUUCUGCUUGGCUAGCCCUGUUUAUUAAACUUGUUCUCUACUGCAAUA
rnacentral:lncRNA from 10 species